UACCGAGGGGGCAAGCGUUGUUCGGAAUUACUGGGCGUAAAGGGCGCGUAGGCGGCCUUCUACGUCGAACGUGAAAUCCCCGGGCUCAACCCGGGAACUGCGUCCGAUACUGGAAGGCUUGAAUCCGGGAGAGGGAUGUGGAAUUCCAGGUGUAGCGGUGAAAUGCGUAGAUAUCGUGAGGAAGACCAGUGGCGAAGGCGGGUCUCUGGACAGUUCCUGACGCUGAGGCGCGAAGGCCAGGGGAGCAAACGGG
rnacentral:rRNA from 1 species